GACGCCAGUCGCAUCGCCGGGUAGCUAUGUUCGGAAGGGAUAACCGCUGAAAGCAUCUAAGCGGGAAGCCUACCUCAAGAUAAGAUUUCCCCGAGACUUUAUGUCUCCUAAAGAGCCGUUGAAGACUACGACGUUGAUAGGUUGGAUGUGGAAGUGCAGUGAUGCAUGAAGCUGACCAAUACUAAUUGCUCGUGAGGCUUGACUAUACAACACCCAAACAGUUG
rnacentral:rRNA from 1 species